rnacentral:lncRNA from 1 species
CCCUACAAGUGCCUGUAGGGCUGGGAAUAAACAUAUAAAUGUACCCAUGGAAUGGUCUGGAAUGUUCUCUGUGCCCUACAAGUGCCUGUAGGGCUGGGAAUAAACAUAUAAAUGUACCCAUGGAAUGCUCUGUGCCCUACAAAUACCUGUAGGGCUGGGAAUAAACAUAUAAAUGUACCCAUGGAAUGCUCUGUGCCCUACAAGUGCCUGUAGGGCUGGGAUAAACCAUGGAAUGGUCUGGAAUGUUCUCUGCGCCCUACAAAUACCUGUAGGGCUGGGAUAAACCUGUAAAUGUCCCCAUGGAAUGGUCUGGAAUGUUCUCUGUGCCCUACAAGUGCUGUAGGGCCGGGAGUGAAGGUCCCAUGGGGCGUGCUGUGUGACCCCAGCCAUGGUGCCACCAGGGCAGGUGGCACUGCCAGGGAUGGCGUGCAGCCAGGGCUGUGCCCCACAUGUCCCCACAGUGUUCUUGUGCCCCACAGCCUGUCCUUGUGUCCCCACAGUGUUCUUGUGCCCCACACCCUGUCCCCAUGUCC